rnacentral:rRNA from 1 species
AGUGAACGCUGGCGGUAGGCCUAACACAUGCAAGUCGAACGGCAGCACAGUAAGAGCUUGCUCUUACGGGUGGCGAGUGGCGGACGGGUGAGGUAUACAUCGGAAUCUACUUUUUCGUGGGGGAUAACGUAGGGAAACUUACGCUAAUACCGCAUACGACCUACGGGUGAAAGCAGGGGAUCUUCGGACCUUGCGCGAUUGAAUGAGCCGAUGUCGGAUUAGCUAGUUGGCGGGGUAAAGGCCCACCAAGGCGACGAUCCGUAGCUGGUCUGAGAGGAUGAUCAGCCACACUGGAACUGAGACACGGUCCAGAAUCCUACGGGAGGCAGCAGUGGGGAAUAUUGGACAAUGGGCGCAAGCCUGAUCCAGCCAUACCGCGUGGGUGAAGAAGGCCUUCGGGUUUUAAAGCCCUUUUGUUGGGAAAGAAAAGCAGCAGGUUAAUACCCCGCUGUUCUGACGGUACCCAAAGAAUAAGCACCGGCUAACUUCGUG